rnacentral:rRNA from 1 species
AGAGUUUGAUCAUGGCUCAGAACGAACGCUGGCGGCAGGCCUAACACAUGCAAGUCGAGCGAGAAGGUACCUUCGGGUACUGGGCAGCGGCGGACGGGUGAGUAACGCGUGGGAAUUUGCCCUUUGGCGGGGGACAACAGUUGGAAACGACUGCUAAUACCGCAUAAGCCCUACGGGGGAAAGGCUUCGGCCACCAAAGGAUGAGCCCGCGUCUGAUUAGAUAGUUGGUGGGGUAAUGGCCUACCAAGUCUACGAUCAGUAGCUGGUUUGAGAGGAUGAUCAGCCACACUGGAACUGAGACACGGUCCAGACUCCUACGGGAGGCAGCAGUGGGGAAUAUUGGACAAUGGGGGAAACCCUGAUCCAGCCAUGCCGCGUGAGUGAAGAAGGCCUUAGGGUUGUAAAACUCUUUCAGUCACGAGGAUAAUGACGGUAGUGACAGAAGAAGCCCCGGCUAACUCCGUGCCAGCAGCCGCGGUAAUACGGAGGGGGCUAGCGUUGUUCGGAAUUACUGGGCGUAAAGCGCGCGUAGGCGGUUUAGCAAGUUGAAGGUGAAAUCCCGGGGCCCAACCCCGGAACUGCCUCCAAAACUGCUAGACUAGAAUUCAAGAGAGGUAGGCGGAACUUCCAGUGUAGAGGUGAAAUUCGUAGAUAUUGGAAAGAACACCAGUGGCGACGCGGCUUACUGGCUUGAUAUUGACGCUGAGUGCGAAAGCGUGGGAGCAAACAGGAUUAGAUACCCUGGUAGUCCACGCCGUAAAUGGUGAAUGCUAGUUGUCAGAAGCUUGACUUUUGGUGACGCAGCUAACGCAUUAAGCAUUCCGCCUGGGGAGUACGGUCGCAAGAUUAAAACUCAAAGGAAUUGACGGGGGCCCGCACAAGCGGUGGAGCAUGUGGUUUAAUUCGAAACAACGCGCAGAACCUUACCAGUUCUUGACAUACUCGUCGCGGAAUCCAGAGAUGGAUUCUUUCAGUUCGGCUGGACGAUGUACAGGUGCUGCAUGGCUGUCGUCAGCUCGUGUCGUGAGAUGUUGGGUUAAGUCCCGCAACGAGCGCAACCCUCGUCCUUAGUUGCCAUCAGUUAGGCUGGGCACUCUAAGGAGACUGCCGGUGAUAAGCCGGAGGAAGGUGGGGAUGACGUCAAGUCCUCAUGGCCCUUAUGAACUGGGCUACACACGUGCUACAAUGGCAUCUACAGUGGGCAGCGACAUAGUGAUAUGAAGCUAAUCUCCAAAAGAUGUCUCAGUUCGGAUUGUUCUCUGCAACUCGAGAGCAUGAAGUUGGAAUCGCUAGUAAUCGCAGAACAGCAUGCUGCGGUGAAUACGUUCCCGGGCCUUGUACACACCGCCCGUCACACCAUGGGAGUUGGUUUCACCCGAAGGCGGUACGCUAACCUACUUGUAGGAGGCAGCCGACCACGGUGGGAUCAGCGACUGGGGUGAAGUCGUAACAAGGUAUCCGUA